UGUUCUGUGGCUUAGAUGGUUCAAGUUCCGGACUAUCACUACGGAGUCGUGGGUUCGAAUCCUAUUAAAACAA
rnacentral:tRNA from 1 species